rnacentral:rRNA from 1 species
GAUGAACGCUGGCGGCGUGCUUAACACAUGCAAGUCGAACGAAGCACCUUGAUUUGAUUCUUCGGAUGAAGAUUUUGGUGACUGAGUGGCGGACGGGUGAGUAACGCGUGGGUAACCUGCCUCAUACAGGGGGAUAACAGUUAGAAAUGACUGCUAAUACCGCAUGAGACCACAGCACCGCAUGGUGCAGGGGUAAAAACUCCGGUGGUAUGAGAUGGACCCGCGUCUGAUUAGGUAGUUGGUGGGGUAACGGCCCACCAAGGCGACGAUCGGUAGCCGGACUGAGAGGUUGAACGGCCACAUUGGGACUGAGACACGGCCCAG